ACAGAGGAAAAAGCGGGAAAGAAGGUUGGAGCAUCCCACUGUCUGAAGGAAGAGUUAAACAAACAAACCCCAGCACAGCAGCGCCGGUCCUACUUCAGCUCGCUUCACAGAAAGCCGGGAGUGCCAGUUCCCGGGAUUUGGGGUAUUUACAGCCUUGGGAAGCGUGGGGAAUGUCCUUUCCGACAUCAGGAAGCACCGUUGGCCUUAGAGAAUCCUGUUCAGCAGAGAGAGAGAGACAAAGGGUCCUAAAACAGGAUCCCACCUGCUGCUCCAGGGCCGUUUAACACCAGCUCACCAAAGAGAAGGAAAAGCUUUAUGGAAAGGGGGAGGAGCCGAGGCCAGGGAGCUCCCUUGCCAUGGACACCAGAACUGGCAGGAGUUGGGUUGCACAGGAAGCAGAAGGCACAGCUCCUGGGAGGCUCCACACCCCCCUGAGGAGGCAGCUCUGAGGUGUGACCCUGCACAGCCUACUAGAAAAGUUUCAUGGAAAGAAUUCCCACACCUCCCUUUUCUACCAGUCCUGAAAUUCGGGUGAGGCAGGGCUGGGGCUCCACGAGGGAAUCACAGGAGAAAAAAGCAAGAGAAAGCAGGAAAAGGGGAUGGCGGGCGUCCGUACCCACCACGA